rnacentral:rRNA from 1 species
AUUGAACGCUGGCGGCAUGCCUUACACAUGCAAGUCGAACGGCAGCAUGAUCUAGCUUGCUAGAUUGAUGGCGAGUGGCGAACGGGUGAGUAAUACAUCGGAACGUGCCCUGUAGUGGGGGAUAACUAGUCGAAAGAUUAGCUAAUACCGCAUACGACCUGAGGGUGAAAGUGGGGGACCGCAAGGCCUCAUGCUAUAGGAGCGGCCGAUGUCUGAUUAGCUAGUUGGUGGGGUAAAGGCCCACCAAGGCGACGAUCAGUAGCUGGUCUGAGAGGACGAUCAGCCACACUGGGACUGAGACACGGCCCAGACUCCUACGGGAAGCAGCAGUGGGGAAUUUUGGACAAUGGGGGCAACCCUGAUCCAGCAAUGCCGCGUGUGUGAAGAAGGCCUUCGGGUUGUAAAGCACUUUUGUCCGGAAAGAAAUCGCACUUACUAAUAUUAGGUGUGGAUGACGGUACCGGAAGAAUAAGGACCGGCUAACUACGUG